GCCCCGGUAAACGGCGGCCGUAACUAUAACGGUCCUAAGGUAGCGAAAUUCCUUGUCGGGUAAGUUCCGACCUGCACGAAUGGCGUAAUGAUGGCCAGGCUGUCUCCACCCGAGACUCAGUGAAAUUGAACUCGCUGUGAAGAUGCAGUGUACCCGCGGCAAGACGGAAAGACCCCGUGAACCUUUACUAUAGCUUGACACUGAACAUUGAGCCUUGAUGUGUAGGAUAGGUGGGAGGCUUUGAAGUGUGGACGCCAGUCUGCAUGGAGCCGACCUUGAAAUACCACCCUUUAAUGUUUGAUGUUCUAACGUUGGCCCGUAAUCCGGGUUGCGGACAGUGUCUGGUGGGUAGUUUGACUGGGGCGGUCUCCUCCUAAAGAGUAACGGAGGAGCACGAAGGUUGGCUAAUCCUGGUCGGACAUCAGGAGGUUAGUGCAAUGGCAUAAGCCAGCUUGACUGCGAGCGUGACGGCGCGAGCAGGUGCGAAAGCAGGUCAUAGUGAUCCGGUGGUUCUGAAUGGAAGGGCCAUCGCUCAACGGAUAAAAGGUACUCCGGGGAUAACAGGCUGAUACCGCCCAAGAGUUCAUAUCGACGGCGGUGUUUGGCACCUCGAUGUCGGCUCAUCACAUCCUGGGGCUGAAGUAGGUCCCAAGGGUAUGGCUGUUCGCCAUUUAAAGUGGUACGCGAGCUGGGUUUAGAACGUCGUGAGACAGUUCGGUCCCUAUCUGCCGUGGGCGCUGGAGAACUGAGGGGGGCUGCUCCUAGUACGAGAGGACCGGAGUGGACGCAUCACUGGUGUUCGGGUUGUCAUGCCAAUGGCACUGCCCGGUAGCUAAAUGCGGAAGAGAUAAGUGCUGAAAGCAUCUAAGCACGAAACUUGCCCCGAGAUGAGUUCUCCCUGACUCCU
rnacentral:rRNA from 1 species